CAGGCUUAACACAUGCAAGUCGAGGGGCAGCAUGGUCUUAGCUUGCUAAGGCCGAUGGCGACCGGCGCACGGGUGAGUAACACGUAUCCAACCUGCCGUCUACUCUUGGACAGCCUUCUGAAAGGAAGAUUAAUACAAGAUGGCAUCAUGAGUCCGCAUGUUCACAUGAUUAAAGGUAUUCCGGUAGACGAUGGGGAUGCGUUCCAUUAGAUAGUAGGCGGGGUAACGGCCCACCUAGUCUUCGAUGGAUAGGGGUUCUGAGAGGAAGGUCCCCCACAUUGGAACUGAGACACGGUCCAAACUCCUACGGGAGGCAGCAGUGAGGAAUAUUGGUCAAUGGGCGAGAGCCUGAACCAGCCAAGUAGCGUGAAGGAUGACUGCCCUAUGGGUUGUGAACUUCUUUUAUAAAGGAAUAAAGUCGGGUAUGGAUACCCGUUUGCAUGUACUUUAUGAAUAAGGAUCGGCUAACUCCGUGCCAGCAGCCGCGGUAAUACGGAGGAUCCGAGCGUUAUCCGGAUUUAUUGGGUUUAAAGGGAGCGUAGAUGGAUGUUUAAGUCAGUUGUGAAAGUUUGCGGCUCAACCGUAAAAUUGCAGUUGAUACUGGAUAUCUUGAGUGCAGUUGAGGCAGGCGGAAUUCGUGGUGUAGCGGUGAAAUGCUUAGAUAUCACGAAGAACUCCGAUUGCGAAGGCAGCCUGCUAAGCUGCAACUGACAUUGAGGCUCGAAAGUGUGGGUAUCAAACAGGAUUAGAUACCCUGGUAGUCCACACGGUAAACGAUGAAUACUCGCUGUUUGCGAUAUACAGCAAGCGGCCAAGCGAAAGCGUUAAGUAUUCCACCUGGGGAGUACGCCGGCAACGGUGAAACUCAAAGGAAUUGACGGGGGCCCGCACAAGCGGAGGAACAUGUGGUUUAAUUCGAUGAUACGCGAGGAACCUUACCCGGGCUUAAAUUGCAGAUGAAUUACGGUGAAAGCCGUAAGCCGCAAGGCAUCUGUGAAGGUGCUGCAUGGUUGUCGUCAGCUCGUGCCGUGAGGUGUCGGCUUAAGUGCCAUAACGAGCGCAACCCUUGUUGUCAGUUACUAACAGGUUCCGCUGAGGACUCUGACAAGACUGCCAUCGUAAGAUGUGAGGAAGGUGGGGAUGACGUCAAAUCAGCACGGCCCUUACGUCCGGGGCUACACACGUGUUACAAUGGGGGGUACAGAGGGCCGCUACCACGCGAGUGGAUGCCAAUCCCCAAAACCUCUCUCAGUUCGGACUGGAGUCUGCAACCCGACUCCACGAAGCUGGGUUCGCUAGUAAUCGCGCAUCAGCCACGGCGCGGUGAAUACGUUCCCGGGCCUUGUACACACCGCCCGUCAAGCCAUGGGAGCCGGGGGUACCUGAAGUGCGUAACCGCGAGGAGCGCCCUAGGGUAAAACUGGUGACUGGGG
rnacentral:rRNA from 1 species